rnacentral:rRNA from 1 species
CCUACGGGUGGCUGCAGUGAGGAAUCUUCCACAAUGGACGAAAGUCUGAUGGAGCGACACCGCGUGAAGGAUGACGGCCUAACGGUUGUAAACUUCUUUUCUGAAGGAGCAUAAUGAGAGUACUUCAGGAAUAAGGGACGGCUAAUUACGUGCCAGCAGCCGCGGUAAUACGUAAGUCUCGAGCGUUACCCGGAAUCAUUGGGUGUAAAGGGUUCGUAGGCGGAUUAACAAGUUGAAUAUUAAAGACUGAGGCUCAACCUCAUGUAUGUGUUCAAAACUGUUAACCUAGAAUUAGGGAGAGGUAAGCGGAAUUCUGUGUGUAGGGGUGCAAUCCGUAGAUACACAGAGGAACACCAAAAGCGAAGGCAGCUUACUGGAACUAUAUUGACGCUGAGGAACGAAAGCGUGGGUAGCGAAAAGGAUUAGAUACCCGGGUAGUC